rnacentral:sRNA from 1 species
GCAGGGUGUGGUGGUGCACACCUGUAAUCCCAGCUACUUGGGAGGCUGUGGCAGGAGAACUGCUUGAACCCGGGAGGUGGAGGUUGCAGUGAGCCGAGAUUGUGCCACUGCACUCCAGCCUGGGUGACAGAGCAGGACUCUGUCUCAA